rnacentral:misc_RNA from 1 species
UACGAAGGGGGCUAGCGUUGUUCGGAAUCACUGGGCGUAAAGCGCGCGUAGGCGGCUAUUCAAGUCAGGGGUGAAAUCCCGGGGCUUAACCCCGGAACUGCCUUUGAAACUGUAUAGCUGGAGACUCGGAGAGGAUAGUGGAAUUCCAAGUGUAGAGGUGAAAUUCGUAGAUACUUGGAGGAACACCGAUGGCGAAGGCAGCUAUCUGGACGAGCACUGACGCUGAGGCGCGAAAGCGUGGGGAUCAAACAGG